rnacentral:lncRNA from 1 species
CUCACACAAAAAUGCUAAAAAGGAGGUUCAAAAAUCAUUAAGCCAUCAUCACAUGCAUCAUUAACAAGCUUCAUAUUUUGCAUGCAAUGGCAUUAACACGACCUCCACCUAGGCCGAAUCUUAACUCAUCCUCAUGCCUCAUCACCACAACAUCAAACAUCAACCAAGAAUGAUGCAUCCAUGGUCAAAUGCCAUUUCCAUCAC